GCAAGGGUUAGUUCCGCAUGAUUUGCAUUAUAGUACCACAUGGCCCCGCAUACUUAAAAAUAACAUUCCCCAUGCUAUCCUGGCAUACACCACCCACACCUGCCAAACCUGGAUUCUCCAAUGAUGAAACAUCAAAAUCCAGUUUGUGACAUCCAAAUAUAGGAGACUGCCAUUUACAUUCCGGUUUGAUCUUAACAACCUUAAGAGUCAUUAAGUUAGCUAUAUUUAACUCAAUAUCCACCUUAGAGACUCCUCUCCCUUCUUCAGUGAUGCUAAACCAACUCCAAACAUCCGAUAAGAUUCUUCAUUUACCUUCUUGUAGCUCC
rnacentral:lncRNA from 1 species